rnacentral:rRNA from 1 species
AGUGAACGCUGGCGGUAGGCCUAACACAUGCAAGUCGAACGGCAGCACAGUAAGAGCUUGCUCUUACGGGUGGCGAGUGGCGGACGGGUGAGGAAUACAUCGGAAUCUACUUUUUCGUGGGGGAUAACGUAGGGAAACUUACGCUAAUACCGCAUACGACCUACGGGUGAAAGCAGGGGAUCUUCGGACCUUGCGCGAUUGAAUGAGCCGAUGUCGGAUUAGCUAGUUGGCGGGGUAAAGGCCCACCAAGGCGACGAUCUGUAGCUGGUCUGGGAGGAUGAUCAGCCACACUGGAACUGAGACACGGUCCAGACUCCUACGGGAGGCAGCAGUGGGGAAUAUUGGACAAUGGGCGCAAGCCUGAUCCAGCCAUACCGCGUGGGUGAAGAAGGCCUUCGGGUUGUAAAGCCCUUUUGUUGGGAAAGAAAAGCAGCAGGUUAAUACCCCGCUGUUCUGACGGUACCCAAAGAAUAAGCACCGGCUAACUUCGUG